AUGAUCUCUCUCCUUUACAUGUGGCUGUGUUCCCAGAGCUUUCAUUUCCAUGUGGCACAUUUUUAUGCUCAUUUUGGGUACCCCAGUGCUCAGCAUAUUGUUGGGCAAAGAUACGUGAAAGGAGCUGGUGUAGUGAAGGAUGAAGAGAAGGCAAUGCAUUGGUUUAGACAAGUCUCCCAGCAGGACCAUCCUGGUGCUGCCUUUAACCUUGCAGUAGGAACACUGAAAAACAUGACUGGCUCCGUGGAAGCAGGGUAAUAAAAUUUACUGUCUUUUCCCUUCUAGCUGACAUGUCAUUCUUUCCAAAGAUGCCCCUCAUAUACUACCUGCAAUUCACAGGC
rnacentral:lncRNA from 1 species